GAGCAUUCCAAGGAAAACGCACGAAGCUGGAGCCCACGCAGCUGGCACCGAACUGGGCGGAGUGAGGAUGCUCUGAGAGUGAUGCCGCGCGAGGCGGGGGAGGGGAGGGCCUGGGGCGAGGGGGAGGUGAGCGCCAGGGGAGGAGAACCUCGCCCACCCCCGGCCCUUAAGGACCCCUCCGGGUAAAGUUAGCGUUCCCACGGCUGUCAGCCGACGAACCAAGAGGAAGGCACCCCUCCCUGCAUCUCCGGUGGCGGCCUGACUCCGGGUCAGCGCAGCCCGGGUUCAGAGGGGACCACUCGGAAAGAUGCGCGUCCCACGCGCCGCUCUGCGCGGCGGUGGAGGUGGACCGGCGCGAGGGCAGGACCCGGGGAAGAGCCUCCGCCGCCCCGGGGCCAGAUGUUUGGGGUCAGCCCGUUGGGCAGGCGAGCUCACACAAGCCAACGGUGAUCCAGUCCAGUCGGUGGCCGGUACCCCACCCUGUGACCGUGGAGGCGAGCCAGACACACCUCCAGGCUCCCGGCGGGCUCACCCCCCAGGCUGUCCGACUUCAGUUCGCGUCAGAACCCGGCCGGUGAUCACCCUGCUCCCACCCAAGUAAACAAGCCCCGCGCGGCAGGUCCCCCGACUUGAAAAAGUAGCCCUCCACCCUCCUCACCCGGUAACUCACAAAGCUUCUCCCUCUCCGGCUCCCGGGGGUCCCGGCACCCCCUCUCGCGUCCUCAAGGUGUCAGACUUCCCCUGCAAGAACAGGCGUCUGUGACUCGCUACUAGUGUCCACAAUGGAGACAGUCGCAAUGAAUAAAUGACGAGGCGGCGUUCCACCCACCCUCAGUCCAGCUCGCUCUUUCCAACGAAAUCAGUUUGGUGCAGAAAAUCAAGUCGGGGGAUGCAGACCUUCCCAGGUGAUGCAGUGGUAAAGGAAUCCAGAUGCCAGUGGAGGAGACUCAAGAGAUGUGGAUUCAAUCCCUGGGUCAGGAAGAUCUCCUGGAGGAGGAAAUGGCAACCCUUCCGGUAGACUUGCCUGGAAAAUUCCAUGGACAGAGGGAACCUGGUGGGCUACAGCCCAUGGGAUCACAAAGAGUUGAACAGGAUUGAGCACAAUUGAUUGAAAUGUUGAAACAGGCAGGUAACUUGAAGAACGGAACCAUCGCUGACAGCCUUGCCCAGAGUUCCCUGGAGUCUUUCCUGGUACACAGGAGAUGUUCAGUAACCACUACUGACCGUGACAUUAGGCUGCUAGACCAGCGGCAGACUGGACACACAGUGGUGACUCUGCCUGACUUUGAAGAUGACAGAGCUAAGCUGCAGAUGCUUCCGUUCACACAAGAACCACAUUCUGAGAACUCAUAAAGCGGUUGUAUGCUUCCUAAUCAAGUCGUAUUUCAAGUAUAUCAAAGUAAUGGCC
ensembl:lncRNA